UCAAGUCCCUCUAUCCCCAAAAAAGAUAAAAAGAUCAUUUGAUUCUCUA
rnacentral:tRNA from 1 species